rnacentral:rRNA from 1 species
CAGCCGCCACGGUAAUACGGAGGGAGCUAGCGUUGUUCGGAAUUACUGGGCGUAAAGCGCACGUAGGCGGCUUUGUAAGUCAGAGGUGAAAGCCUGGAGCUCAACUCCAGAACUGCCUUUGAGACUGCAUCGCUUGAAUCCAGGAGAGGUGAGUGGAAUUCCGAGUGUAGAGGUGAAAUUCGUAGAUAUUCGGAAGAACACCAGUGGCGAAGGCGGCUCACUGGACUGGUAUUGACGCUGAGGUGCGAAAGCGUGGGGAGCAAGCAGGAUUAGAUACCCGCGUAGUCCCUGUCUCUUAUAC